rnacentral:lncRNA from 1 species
CUUUUAUCUGUAAAAAGACUCGUUUCACAGCAGAUGACAUCAUCGCUCCACACCUGAGAUCCUGAGAUGAUUGACAGCUCACCUGUGCAGGUAUGAGCUCCUGCGCCCGCCCUACAGCUGACAACAGCAAAUAUACAGUUUAUUCAGUGUUUAAAGCUGUAAAGAACUUCUGAGAUGAAGCUGCUGCUGCUCAUCACCUGUUUCUGACUUUUACCUGCAGUCAGUUUGAAUAAGUGAAUAUUAUGAUGAGCUGACGCUGCUGUCACUCACUAAACUGCCUUUUUUUAAACAUUUAUCUGAAUAUUUCCUCAGGAAAUCAUGUGGUAAGUUUGGUUUCAGAGCCCAGAAUCUUUUCUAACUAACUCUAACUAUAAUCACAUGAAAGUGGGUCAGUUGGGUCAGAACCAGGCCGACUCUGGCAGCUGGUUUCCCGCCGUCUCUCAUCAGGUGUCCCCCCCCCCCCCCCGUCCUCCAUUAUUCUCGGGGGUUUCUCUGCUGCUCCUCGUCUCUCUGUCCUCUGCUGUCAGCUCUCGACAGAAGAAGACGAGGGGAGCAGAGUGAAGAGGAGAGGAGGACUCGGCUUCCUCCCCUCGCUGUGGUUUCCUGUUUGUAGGUGGGAGGAUGUCGAGACGGUUGCAGCAGCUUCUUCACGCGGCGCUGCAGCUUUUUAUCACCCGGCGACGCUCUGAGGUGUCACAGUUGCACCUCCUGAUUGGUUCGAGGCGUCGGUGUGAAACUUGCUCCUCGGUCUCCACCACCAGUUGCAGAUUGCAGUUGAAAGAGGACAGUUUGAUCAGCCCACACACGAGGGCCGUCCUGCAUCUGUCUGGAGGAAGCUGACCCGCGCUGGUGGUCCAUCGUCUCCGUCCUCGUAGGAAAAACUGAGGAAGACCACACGAGAUCAGAGGACGUGUGGCGGGAGGAGAGACCGAACCCCAGAGAGGUGAUUGGGUGCAGCGAUGACAGAGGAGAGUCAGUGACGAAGAGGGAGGGAGGAAAGACUCGAGAUCAAGAUCAUCAGAGAGCGAAGACGUCCUCAGACAUGGCGGAUGUUCGGUUACAGUAGUCACCUCAUGUGGACCAGAAACUGUCGGGGGACACGAGAGCAGCAGCAGGCCCCGAACCUUCACCCCUCCUCAUCCUCCUCCUCCUCCUCCUCCUCCUCCUCCUCCUCCUCCUCGUCCUCCUCGUCCUCAUCCUCCUCCUCGUCUCUCCGGUCGCAGCUUGUCCUUAGGUGCAGGUGAGCUCUCUGUCCUUUUACAUUCUCAGCUGAUGAUUUAAUGACCUCUGAGUGACGGAGGAACUUCACUUUGUUCCC